GAUCAUGGCUCAGGAUGAACGCUGGCGGCGUGCUUAACACAUGCAAGUCGAGCGAAGCACUUUGCUUUGAUUUCUUCGGGGUGAAGAGCUUAGUGACUGAGCGGCGGACGGGUGAGUAACGCGUGGGUAACCUGCCUCAUACAGGGGGAUAACAGUUAGAAAUGACUGCUAAUACCGCAUAAGGCCACAGCACCGCAUGGUGCAGGGGUAAAAACUCCGGUGGUAUGAGAUGGACCCG
rnacentral:rRNA from 1 species